rnacentral:rRNA from 1 species
CAUAGGUUAAUGAGGCGAACCGGGGGAACUGAAACAUCUAAGUACCCCGAGGAAAAGAAAUCAACCGAGAUUCCCCCAGUAGCGGCGAGCGAACGGGGAGGAGCCCAGAGCCUGAAUCAGUGUGUGUGUUAGUGGAAGCGUCUGGAAAGGCGCGCGAUACAGGGUGACAGCCCCGUACACAAAAAUGCACAUACUGUGAGCUCGAUGAGUAGGGCGGGACACGUGGUAUCCUGUCUGAAUAUGGGGGGACCAUCCUCCAAGGCUAAAUACUCCUGACUGACCGAUAGUGAACCAGUACCGUGAGGGAAAGGCGAAAAGAACCCCGGCGAGGGGAGUGAAAAAGAACCUGAAACCGUGUACGUACAAGCAGUGGGAGCCUCUUAAUGGGGUGACUGCGUACCUUUUGUAUAAUGGGUCAGCGACUUAUAUUCUGUAGCAAGGUUAACCGAAUAGGGGAGCCGAAGGGAAACCGAGUCUUAACUGGGCGUUAAGUUGCAGGGUAUAGACCCGAAACCCGGUGAUCUAGCCAUGGGCAGGUUGAAGGUUGGGUAACACUAACUGGAGGACCGAACCGACUAAUGUUGAAAAAUUAGCGGAUGACUUGUGGCUGGGGGUGAAAGGCCAAUCAAACCGGGAGAUAGCUGGUUCUCCCCGAAAGCUAUUUAGGUAGCGCCUCGUGAAUUCAUCUCCGGGGGUAGAGCACUGUUUCGGCAAGGGGGUCAUCCCGACUUACCAACCCGAUGCAAACUGCGAAUACCGGAGAAUGUUAUCACGGGAGACACACGGCGGGUGCUAACGUCCGUCGUGAAGAGGGAAACAACCCAGACCGCCAGCUAAGGUCCCAAAGUCAUGGUUAAGUGGGAAACGAUGUGGGAAGGCCCAGACAGCCAGGAUGUUGGCUUAGAAGCAGCCAUCAUUUAAAGAAAGCGUAAUAGCUCACUGGUCGAGUCGGCCUGCGCGGAAGAUGUAACGGGGCUAAACCAUGCACCGAAGCUGCGGCAGCGACACUAUGUGUUGUUGGGUAGGGGAGCGUUCUGUAAGCCUGUGAAGGUGUACUGUGAGGUAUGCUGGAGGUAUCAGAAGUGCGAAUGCUGACAUAAGUAACGAUAAAGCGGGUGAAAAGCCCGCUCGCCGGAAGACCAAGGGUUCCUGUCCAACGUUAAUCGGGGCAGGGUGAGUCGACCCCUAAGGCGAGGCCGAAAGGCGUAGUCGAUGGGAAACAGGUUAAUAUUCCUGUACUUGGUGUUACUGCGAAGGGGGGACGGAGAAGGCUAUGUUGGCCGGGCGACGGUUGUCCCGGUUUAAGCGUGUAGGCUGGUUUUCCAGGCAAAUCCGGAAAAUCAAGGCUGAGGCGUGAUGACGAGGCACUACGGUGCUGAAGCGACAAAUGCCCUGCUUCCAGGAAAAGCCUCUAAGCAUCAGGUAACAUCAAAUCGUACCCCAAACCGACACAGGUGGUCAGGUAGAGAAUACCAAGGCGCUUGAGAGAACUCGGGUGAAGGAACUAGGCAAAAUGGUGCCGUAACUUCGGGAGAAGGCACGCUGAUAUGUAGGUGAAGCGACUUGCUCGUGGAGCUGAAAUCAGUCGAAGAUACCAGCUGGCUGCAACUGUUUAUUAAAAACACAGCA